AAUAACAGAAGAUCCGCAACGGGUUGAGGUUGGGCUCCACGAGCCGGACUCGAUCGACCAGCGGAUCGUAAAGUCCGCCGAAGUGAGUGGCUUUGAGCACCAACAGAAAAGCUCCGACUCCGAGCAAGACCAAGUGGAUGCCCAGAAUCGUUGUCAUCUUGUUGCCGUCUUGCCA
rnacentral:antisense_RNA from 1 species